rnacentral:rRNA from 1 species
GAUGAACGCUAGCGGCAGGCCUAAUACAUGCAAGUCGGACGGGAUUGAGUAGCUUGCUAUUCAUGAGAGUGGCGCACGGGUGCGUAACACGUAUGUAACCUACCCUUGUCAGGGGGAUAGCCUCUCGAAAGAGAGAUUAAGACCGCAUAACAUUGUAAUGUGGCAUCACAAAACAAUCAAAUAUUUAUAGGACAAGGAUGGGCAUGCGGAACAUUAGCUAGUUGGUAAGGUAACGGCUUACCAAGGCUACGAUGUUUAGGGGAUCUGAGAGGAUGACCCCCCACACUGGAACUGAGACACGGACCAGACUCCGACGGGAGGCAGCAGUAAGGAAUAUUGGUCAAUGGGCGGAAGCCUGAACCAGCCAUGCCGCGUGCAGGAAGACGGCCCUAUGGGUUGUAAACUGCUUUUGCAGGGGAAUAAACCUCGAUACGUGUAUCGAGCUGAAUGUACUCUGAGAAUAAGGAUCGGCUAACUCCGUGCCAGCCGCCGCCGUAAGAC